UCCCUGGCAGUCCAGUGGUUAGGACUCUGUGCUCUUACUGAAGAGGGCCCAGGUUCGAUCCCUGGUUGGGGAA